rnacentral:lncRNA from 1 species
UUAAGAUACAUGUAUCUAGAUCUAGAUGUGUGAUAGAUGAAAAUUGAUCCCAUGUGAUGACGACGUAGUUAGUUGAAAAGUCACAUAUGACAUUAAAGGUGCAUCCUUUACAGCCCAAUAUUUCCUAAAGUAAACAUUUCCAGCGGGCUGAGGGUGAAAUUUUCCAGAUACAUUUAUCUUUAAGGGAUGUGUGACAGACAAAAAUUGACCUCAUGGGAUAAUGACAUCAUUAGAUGACAGGUCACGUGAUAUCAAAUAUGCAUCAUUUAAAUUUCUAUAUCUCCUUGAAAUACAUGUCUGAGCGGGUUGAAACUUUGCAGAUAUCUGUAAGGGGGUGUGUAAUAGACAAAACUGGACCUCAUGGGUUGAUGACGUCAUCAGUUGACAAAUUGACAUAACAAGGGGUCGUUCUACACACCACUUUUGGUCCUUUCUUUGGGCCAAUUUACUUCAAACCCGGCACAUUGUCACACUACCACCCAAAGAUGUAUGCCGAAUCAUGGCGUCGACAUGACGUAAUCACCUGAUUUAUAAUAGAAUUUUGAAUAUUUAAGUUUCCCCUUAUGUUUUGUACACGUUUUUCAACUGCCAGAAUGAGAAUGGCAUGCUCUUUGGCCACUCCACAAAAUGAAACUUGGUCCAAGCAAAGACCAUGCAGCAUAUGUGGCCAUAUAGGAAUGACAUCGGUCUGGCAUCAUAAUUGGAUUUAUUUUGUAAUUUUGAGGAUUUAAUUUCUCCCAUCGACUGUGUACACAUUUUGAAACCCAUUGACUUUGUACAUACAUAGAAGUGCCAUUUUGCCCAAGCGUUUGCGGAUGUCCAUAAGUUGCUCGAUCAGCUGACCUGCGCAAUCGGUCUAUAGCCCCACGAUGUGAGCGUUGUCGCACUGUCCUAUUGCUUGAAGACCUAGCUAAAUUUGGCUAGAAGGUUGUGAAAAAAUCAUGCAAAAUAUAUCGAGGGGAAUGAACUCUGAGAUUUCAUAUUUCAGGCUUCAACCAAUUUUGAUUCUCAAAAUAAAUCAUCCGUGCUUGUUUUAUUCCUCCAUGGUGCAUGUAUCGACCUUUGUGCGGUCUCGUGUCAACACAUGGACUUGAUCGGGACGAUAUUUUCGACGGGCCCAUGUGAUUUCUUAGGACCUCUUGGGACUUCCCGGACCUGAAAUUUCAUCAAUUGAGUUCUUAAUGGAUUUUGCUUGAUCAGAGGAUUCAAAGGUAAUCCCAUAAAAUCUGAACUGAAACCAAAUUCAUGCACCGGCACAAGAAAUUGCAGGAGUUGAUACCUAAUAGGCAUGAUCACAAUGAUCGUUCGCUAAUAAGGGUGCACAGAGCCUAACAGUCACACGUAGUGCGGCGGGCAGCUGGGUUUAGAAGCUGGAUGGAUGGAGUGCUGGAACUGGGUCUGGAAGGUGUCCUUUGUACUACUGCUGGAGUGAAAGUUACAGAUAAAUCUGGUCUCCAUGUUAGUUCCAAGCACCAACGAUAAAGGAAGCUGCUGUAGAACAAAGCAAGGAAAUUAACAGACAUGAGGGUGGUCUUCACACAUUUUCAAUGUCCUCGGUACAAUUGAAGAGCACUCUAAGCAGGACUGAUCCUGAGAAGGAUGAGAACAGCUUCAUGAAACUACUCGUAGCAAGACUGCAACCAACAGGAAGCAUCCUUCAUGCUGCUACUGAAGUGAAAGCCACAGAUCUCAAUGUUAGGAAUUUAACGUCUCUGCAGUUACAUGUAGAUCAGAUGCACAGCCACCCUUGAUAAGCUGCUGUAGGCCUACAACGAAGUAAAGAAAUUCACAGAUGACACCAAAGAAUGUUUACCAGCACAUACACGAAGGAAGUCUUUCAACAUGUAGGUGUUGUUGAUGAAAAGGCAAUUCGUACUAAGACUGUUUUACAGAAGGACAUCAUCAAAAUAACAUGAUCAUCUACAAAAAAUGCAGCCACUAAGACAUAUGAGAUACAUGAGAUGUAUUUGUACAUUUCCCUUGCAUAUUUCGUUCAAGAUUUCUGCAGUAAAUGUGAACACAGGUUUCGGAACAUUAUACAAAGUUUCAACGGUCACAAGUUGCUGAUACAUGUAUUUUAAAACUGCUCCCAGUUUUGUUAAGUAUCUAGAGCAUAAAAAUUUUUCCGGUAUUUAUAUAAUAUACAAAAGUGAAAUGCCCUAAUGCAGUUUUUCUCUUUUCUUUUUUAAAUAUUAACAUUCUUUAACAUAACUUUAACAAGACCGCUUUCAGUGUUCAAUAUUUUGAGUAUACAUGGUAUUUCUUAACAUACGCUUAAAUUCCACAAUCUGAGUUUGUGCUGCUGUGCACUCGCAGAUACAGUUGUUAAAAGUAAACAUUUGUCCGGUUACUGUCGGGAGAAAAUAAGAUGUACUUUUGAAAGAAUUGUGUGAAAUUAAAGUUUGCAUUAUUUUU